rnacentral:rRNA from 1 species
AUUGAACGCUGGCGGCAGGCCUAACACAUGCAAGUCGAACGCAUCGCAAGAUGAGUGGCAGACGGGUGAGUAACGCGUGGGAACAUACCCUUUUCUACGGAAUAGCUCUGGGAAACUGGAAUUAAUACCGUAUACGCCCUACGGGGGAAAGAUUUAUCGGGGAAGGAUUGGCUCGCGUUGGAUUAGCUAGUUGGUGGGGUAAAGGCCUACCAAGGCGACGAUCCAUAGCUGGUCUGAGAGGAUGAUCAGCCACAUUGGGACUGAGACACGGCCCAAACUCCUACGGGAGGCAGCAGUGGGGAAUAUUGGACAAUGGGCGCAAGCCUGAUCCAGCCAUGCCGCGUGAGUGAUGAAGGCCUUAGGGUUGUAAAGCUCCUUCACCGAUGAAGAUAAUGACGGUAGUCGGAGAAGAAGCCCCGGCUAACUUCGUGCCAGCAGCCGCCGUAA